GGAAACUGGUUGUCGGCUGAUACAUAGCCCUUGUGUCACUACACGGCCUAGGGCCAUCUAACUUACUAAAACUUGAAGGCUGCAUCUUGUAUUUGGGCAGAAUUUUACACGGGUCUUAACUAGUUACACGGGUCCAAUUACACGGCCCGUGUUUUGUAGUUCUUCUGGAAAUUCUUUGAGCUUUACCAAGUAGAAUCUUACGCGGGUCUCCAC
rnacentral:misc_RNA from 1 species